AAACCAAAAACCCCAAUCAAAGCAAACCACAGUCGAAGAAAAAUGCUCUAAGAAGAAACCAUAAAUAUUAAAAAAAAAAAAAAGUGUUAAAAAAUAUAAAAAAAAAAUAAAAAUACUAAAGGAUUUACUUGAUUCAAUUAGUUAACCAAUUAAUCAAAAAAGGAUAAUGCUAAUCGGUUGUCAAGUGAACUAAAAAUUUUUUGUUUACAACUUUUGCGGUCAGAACGUGGCACUUUUUGGGGGUUUGUUGUCCUUUGCGUUAGCUAGUUUGUGUGUGUGCGGUUUCCCCUCGCUACUCCUCAACCCAAGGCGGCCGAAGGAUAUUUGUUUGUAGUUUCGUGCGGUGGUGGUGGUGCUGGUGCUGCUGCUGUUUCUGUAAAGUGGCAGCUAUGGCAACACAUUGCUAAUCGAUGACGUGACCACAAAAACAUAAAACGCAAAUACUAAAAAGAAAACAAAACCCAAAAAAAAACCCUAAACUAAACACUAAGGAUAACACAAGGAUAAUGACCAUAAACUGAUUUGAUUGAUAAUUGAAAUCGUUGAAAAAUGUGAACAGGUAAAUUGAGCUUGAAUAACGGAAA